AGCCUUUGCAUCUCUCCUUCCUUGAAUUGUUAACCUGAAGCUACGAAAUAUGGUGUCUUCAAAAAGUAAUACUGCAAUGUUGCUGCCCAAGGCUUGUUUUGAUUAUUUCUCCAACAGGGGAAACACCAACUGCAUAAUCAGCUAGGUUACAAUAAGUUCUAAGCUGUGAAAGCAAAGGUAAAUUGGUUCCCUGCCAAGGACGAGAAACUGGAUGAUUUAUAAAAAAAGAAUAGUUGGAUUGUAGCAGUUUAGGUUGAGCGUGCAGUCAUAGUUUGAUGAAGCUAUGUUUUUUUUAUUACAAGUGUAGUUUGUUCUGGAUGCUAAUAACUG
rnacentral:lncRNA from 1 species